GCUCCUCUCAUAGCCUUUACACUGGGCUAUUCCCUCUGGCUGGAACACCCUUCCAGGUGUUUUCCUUGGGCUUGACUUCCAUGACUCAGAGCUCAGAUAGCAUUCCUCUGAGCCCCUUCCCUGAUGAUCCUCAAAUGGAGCUCAGGGACAGGGGGAUUUCUGUCUGCUUUGCUCAUCAUUAUAUUCUUAGCACCUAGAACAGGGCUGGCACAUGGCAGGCACUUGAAAAAUACCUGCGGAGUUAUUAGAACAAAGCAGCUUCUACAAAAAGAACUGGGUUGCAUAAGUUGUGGCAUUCUGUGGGCAAGACAAGAAUUGAGGAAUGAACAAAGAAGAGGAGAGAAGACAUGAGCUUUUACAGUGUGGAGGACAAACAUGGAUAGCUGGAGACAAAAUAGGGCACGGGGUUUGGGACCCUGUCACCACCUUCUCUGAUGUGGAAAAUAAUCUGUGUUGUGAUUAAAGCCAAAUGCAGUUUUCAUUCACAGACAAGGACAUUCUUGAAGACAUCAGAAAAGGAGACAAUCUCUCCCCCAUCCCUCCAGCUGCUCUUCCUCAGUUUCCAGGUUUGAUCACCAAAAUAAAGCAUGGGCAGCAGGGCUGAAGACAGGGACCCAGACGAAGCAACGACAGAUCCGCAUGUAGUGGGAAGAAGAUUUAGAACCAUCCAACAUGCCUCGAUGAUCUUUGACAAGACACAGAAAAUGCUCUUGUUGCUGUGUUUGCUGGGAUAGCUUUACCCUCCUGACAACACCCCUCAGAGACAGUACUGUUAUCCAUUUCGGGGAAGCCGAGGUCGAGAGAGGAGAAGUCACAUGUCCCAGGUCACCCAGUUAGCAGGUACGACCCUGGAUCCUGGUGUUCUGUCUCCACAGCUGUCCUCUUCCCGCUGCUUCCUGCAAAGGUCAUUAACAUGGAUUUGAGGAACCCAGAGGCAUGAAUGGACAUGGCAGAGAGAACCCGAGCUGUGGAAUCAGCACAUCUGAGUUUGCACCCAGCUCCAACCCCCACUUGUGGCAUUGCCUUAGCAAACAUUUGACCUCUGCUUUAUGUUCCCUAGUUAUUGAACAGGCUGGGAGCUCCUGCCUCUUAGAUUUUAAUGCCCUAUUCACCUCGCACCAGAAAUAAAAUGCAGGUGAUGAUGAAAA